UUUGUUAUAUAGCUCGUAUGAGUAUUUGUUUUUUUUGGAUAUCCAAUUGUCCAUUGGUUAGGAGAUGUAUUCAUCAGACUGGUCUCGUCGUGAAUACAAAUGGAUGACUAAUGAUAUGAGCCAAUAAUGAUAGACGCACUCCACUUCCCUUCAACAACAACAAAAGUCAGAACCAUUGAUCAUUUGGUUAAGCCAAAACGAAAGUCCAUAAUUA
rnacentral:lncRNA from 1 species